CCUACGGGAGGCAGCAGUGGGGAAUAUUGCACAAUGGGGGAAACCCUGAUGCAGCGACGCCGCGUGAGUGAAGAAGUAUUUCGGUACGUAAAGCUCUAUCAGCAGGGAAGAAAAUGACGGUACCUGACUAAGAAGCCCCGUCUAACUACGUGCCAGCAGCCGCGGUAAUACGUAGGGGGCAAGUGUUAUCCGGAUUUACUGGGUGUAAAGGGAGCGUAGACGGCAGCGCAAGUCUGGAGUGAAAUCCCAUGGCUUAACCAUGGAACUGCUUUGGAAACUGUGCAGCUAGAGUGCAGGAGAGGUAAGCGGAAUUCCUAGUGUAGCGGUGAAAUGCGUAGAUAUUAGGAGGAACACCAGUGGCGAAGGCGGCUUACUGGACUGUAACUGACGUUGAGGCUCGAAAGCGUGGGGAGCAAACAGGAUUAGAUACCCGAGUAGUC
rnacentral:rRNA from 1 species